rnacentral:misc_RNA from 1 species
AAUUAAGUACCUUUUCAAGUCAGAAUUACUUAUGGUUUGAUGAUAAAAAGUAUUUAAAAUUCUGUCAUCAUCUUUCUAGGGAAAGGAAAAGGUAAUUGGGGUUUAAACUUUUUUACUCUUGCAUGAUAAAACUCGACUUCAUUGCCUGAGGCACUGCUUGAUCAGUUAAUAUAUGAAGUUCUAUUUUAAUUCGUCCAUGAAAUGCGAAGGAAUUAGGGAGGUUGUUCCCUUCUACACUUAGGGGCUUAGCUCUUACCCUGUUGGCUGCG